rnacentral:rRNA from 1 species
AUUGAACGCUGGCGGCAGGCCUAACACAUGCAAGUCGAGCGGAUGAAGGGAGCUUGCUCCUGGAUUCAGCGGCGGACGGGUGAGUAAUGCCUAGGAAUCUGCCUGGUAGUGGGGGAUAACGUCCGGAAACGGGCGCUAAUACCGCAUACGUCCUGAGGGAGAAAGUGGGGGAUCUUCGGACCUCACGCUAUCAGAUGAGCCUAGGUCGGAUUAGCUAGUUGGUGGGGUAAAGGCCUACCAAGGCGACGAUCCGGAACUGGUCUGAGAGGAUGAUCAGCCACCCUGGAACUGAGACACGGUCCCGACUCCUACGGGAGGCAGCAGUGGGGAAUAUUGGGCAAUGGGCGAAAGCCUGAUCCAGCCAUGCCGCGUGUGUGAAGAAGGUCUUCGGAUUGUAAAGCACUUUAAGUUGGGAGGAAGGGCAGUAAGUUAAUACCUUGCUGUUUUGACGUUACCAACAGAAUAAGCACCGGCUAACUUCGUG